UCCCUGGAGGACUAGUGGUUAGGCCAUGGCACUGUUACUGCUGCGGCCCGGGUUAGAUUCCCAGCCAGGGAA
rnacentral:tRNA from 1 species